GCAGGAGUGGUAUGGUGCCUGCCAGACCUUCUAGGAGCAGGCAGAUGGCCAGGGGAAGCACAGUUUGGAAUAGGGUUAGACAAAGGUAAUGUGUUAGAGGAGGUGAAUCCUGAUGUGAAGCAGAGGUAGGGAAGGAAGGAGAAAGAACAGGUGAAGGAAAAAGGGAGGAAGGUGGAGGAUCAGGAGGAUCAGGAGUAGUGGAUGGUGGAACAAGGACAUCAUUAG
rnacentral:lncRNA from 1 species